UACGUAGGAUGCAAGCGUUGUCCGGAAUUACUGGGCGUAAAGGGCGAGCAGGUGGCACUACAAGUCUGAUGUAAAAUCUCCCGGCUUAACUGGGAGGGGCCAUUGGAAACUGUAGAGCUGGAGUGCAGGAGAGGCUAACGGAAUUCCCGGUGUAGUGGUGAAAUGCGUAGAUAUCGGGAGGAACACCAGUGGCGAAGGCGGUUAGCUGGCCUGUAACUGACACUGAGGCGCGAAGGCUAGGGGGAGCGAACAGG
rnacentral:rRNA from 1 species